UUCAAAUCCCCCCUGAACCUCCCCCAUUCCUGGACCUCCCUUCCCUGGCCUUCCCUGCAGCCCCUUCCUCGCGGGGGCUGCACCGGAGCCUGGAGCCGCAGAAACCCCGGGAGAAACCCCUGGAGAAACCCCAGAAACCCCGAGAGAAACCCCGGGAGCAGCCCCAGAAACCCCAGAAGAAACCCCGGGAGAAGCCCCAGGAGCAGCCCCAGGAGAAACCCCAAGAGAAACUCCCAGAGCAGCCCCAAAAACCGCGGGAGAAGCCCCAGAAGCUCCAGGAGCACCCCCGGGAGCACCCCCGGGAGCAGCGCCAGGAGAAACCCCAGGACAAGCUCUGGGAGCAGCCCCAAAAACCGCGGGAGAAGCUCCAGGAGCACCCCCGGGAGCAGCCCCGGGACUGGCGGGCCAGGCUGGGGGUGGGCAAGGUGGGGCACGGCACCUUGUAGAGGAGUGGGGUCCCUUUAAAUGUGGCCACGCCCCUUUGGAGCACCUCUGUCCCUUUAAAUGUGGCCACGCCCCUUUGGAGCAGCACUGUCCCUUUAAAUGUGGCCACGCCCCAUUUAACUUCAGGCCACGCCCUCACCCAGUGCAGUUCCACACUGACCACGCCCACUUUUGCUGUAGCCCCACCCCUUUCUGUACAAAGCCACGCCCCUUUUAGCGAUUCGUGCGUCCCCUUUAAAUGCCACGCCCAUGGCUGACCACACCCUUUGCUAAACCACGCCCCUUAAAGGGACACUGUCCCUUUACCACAGGCCCCACCCUGACCACACCCAGUCCCUCAGCCCCGCCCCUCUCUGUGGCUCCUCCCAUGACCGCAGUGCCAGCCCCAGGGGUCCCCAAAGUGUCCCCAAAGUGCCACCAAUGGCCCUGGGCCUGUCCCCACAGUGCCACCAAUGGCCCUGGGCCUGUCCCCAAAGUGCCACCAAUGGCCCUGGGCCUGUCCCCACAGCGUCACCAAUGGCCCUGGGCCUGUCCCCAAAGUGCCACCAAUGGCCCUGGGCCUGUCCCCACAGUGCCACCAAUGGCCCUGGGCCUGUCCCCAAAGUGCCACCAAUGGCCCUGGGCCUGUCCCCACAGCGUCACCAAUGGCCCUGGGCCUGUCCCCAAAGUGCCACCAAUGGCCCUGGGCCUGUCCCCAAAGUGUCCCCAAAGUGCCACCAAUGGCCCUGGGCCUGUCCCCAAAGUGUCCCCAAGGUCCCCAAAGUGCCACCAAUGGCCCUGGGCCUGUCCCCAAGGUCCCCAAAGUGCCACCAAUGGCCCUGGGCCUGUCCCCAAAGUGUCCAAGGUCCCCGAAGUGCCACCAAUGGCCCUGGGCCUGUCCCCACAGUGUCCCCAAAGUGCCACUAAUGGCCCUGGGCCUGUCCCCAAAGUGUCCCCAAAGUGCCACCAAUGGCCCUGGGCCUGUCCCCAAGGUCUGCAAAGUGCCACCAAUGGCCCUGGGCCUGUCCCCAAAGUGUCCCCAAGGUCCCCGAAGUGCCACCAAUGGCCCUGGGCCUGUCCCCAAAGUGCCACCAAUGCCCUGGGCCUGUCCCCACAGUGUCCCCAGCGCAUCCCCCAGCCCCGUCCCCUCUGUCCCCCCUUGGUGACGGCACCGUCCCUCGCCCCAGGGCCCCGUCUCCCGCUGUCCCCGAGGGCCACCAAGGCGUCGCCGGCGGUGUCACUGCGGCGCUGGCUGCGGGCCGAGCUGCGGCUGGACCUGGAGGCCGGACGGCCCCGCCCUGCCAGCCCCCGGUCCCACCGAGGAGGAGGAGGAGGAGGAGGAAGAGGCCGCAGGGGGGGUGGGGGACACAGGGCCCCCCCCGCCUGA
ensembl:lncRNA